UACGGAGGGGGCUAGCGUUGUUCGGAAUUACUGGGCGUAAAGCGCACGUAGGCGGCUUUGCAAGUCAGAGGUGAAAGCCCGGGGCUCAACCCCGGAAUUGCCUUUGAGACUGCAUCGCUAGAAUUGUGGAGAGGUAAGUGGAAUUCCGAGUGUAGAGGUGAAAUUCGUAGAUAUUCGGAAGAACACCCGUGGCGAAGGCGGCUCUCUGGGACGGUACUGACGCUGAGACGCGAAAGCGUGGGGAGCGAACAGG
rnacentral:rRNA from 1 species